AAACCAUUUACACACAUAAAAGUAUGGGUGAUAGAAAUUUAUUUUUCGGCGCCAUAGAGACAGUACCGUAAGGGAAAGAUGAAAAAAAAAAAUUAAGCACAAAACAGCAAGGAUUCACCCCUAUACCUUUUGCAUAAUGAACUAGCCAGAGACAAUUUUGCAAAGAGAACUAAAGCCAAAACCCCCGAAACCAGACGAGCUACCCAAAAACAGCUAGAAGAGCGCACCCAUCUAUGUAGCAAAAUAGUGGGAAGAUUUCUGGGUAGAGGUGAUAAGCCUACCGAGCCUGGUGAUAGCUGGUUAUCCAAGAUAGAAUCUUAGUUCAACCUUAAGUUUACCUACAGAACUACCAAUCCCCCUGUAAACUUAAUUGUUAUUCUAAAGAGGGACAGCUCUUUAGACACUAGGAAAAAACCUUACAUAGAGAGUAAAAAACCUAACCCCCCAUAGUUGGCCCAAAAGCAGCCAUCAAUUAAGAAAGCGUUCAAGCUCGACGUUAACUAACCAAAAAUCCCAAGCAUAUGACUGAACUCCUUACAUUACAUUGGAUUAAUCUAUUUAAUCAUAGAAGCAAUAAUGCUAGUAUUAGUAACAUGAAUAUAUUCUCCUAUGCAUAAGCCUAAGUCAGACCGAAAAAAUCUCACUGACACUUAACAGCCUAGUACUAAUAAACACAAACAAGCCAGUACUACCUAUACUGUUAAUCCAACACAGGCAUGCUCCAAAGGAAAGGUUAAAAAAAGUAAAAGGAACUCGGCAAACCUAACAGGCAUGCUCCAAAGGAAAGGUUAAAAAAAGUAAAAGGAACUCGGCAAACCUACCCCCGCCUGUUUACCAAAAACAUCACCUCUAGCAUUAAUAAUAUUAGAGGCACUGCCUGCCCAGUGACACACGUUCAACGGCCGCGGUACCCUGACCGUGCAAAGGUAGCAUAAUCACUUGUUCCUUAAAUAGGGACUCGCAUGAACGGCAACACGAGGGUUCAACUGUCUCUUACUUUCAACCAGUGAAAUUGACCUGCCCGUGAAGAGGCGGGCAUAACAUAAUAAGACGAGAAGACCCUAUGGAGCUUUAAUUUACUAAUGCAACCAAAAUUCAUAGAAAUCCACGGACUUAACCCACUACUAGGCCUGCAUUAUUAAUUUUGGUUGGGGUGACCUCGGAGCAUAAUCAAACCUCCGAAUAGUCCAGGCCAAGACUAUACUAGUCAAAGCUAACUAUAUCUACAAUUGAUCCAAUAGAUUGAUCAACGGAAAAAGUUACCCUAGGGAUAACAGCGCAAUCCUAUUCCAGAGUUCAUAUCGACAAUAGGGUUUACGACCUCGAUGUUGGAUCAGGACAUCCUAAUGGUGCAGCAGCUAUCAAGGGUUCGUUUGUUCAACGAUUAAAGUCCUACGUGAUCUGAGUUCAGACCGGAGCAAUCCAGGUCGGUUUCUAUCUAUUCUAUAUUUCUCCCUGUACGAAAGGACAAGAGAAAUAGGGCCCACUUCACAAAGUGCCCUCCUUCCAUAAAUGACUUGGUCUCAAUUUAACAAAAAAGCUAGAUAUAUGCCCCAAGAACAGGGC
rnacentral:rRNA from 1 species